AGGAAGGAACCACAUGUGAAACCACUUACCUGUUUAACCCUAUGAACUUGAAGAGAACAUGUAAUGCCACUUAAAAUACCUAAGCUCGGGUUCUGCCUUCAGCGACUCCUGGUAGUAGUGCCCUUAUGAGCCAUUUAUCAAGAAGUGAUAGGAUCGCAUUCUGUCACCCAGUCUGGAGUGCAAUGGCAUGACCUUGGCUCACUGCAGCCUCGAUCUCCCAGCCUCAAUCAAUCCUUUCACCUCAGCCUCCUGAGUAGCUUGAACUACAGCUGAGGAUGCUAUGAAAACCCCUUGAGGAAACAAAGGCACCUUGGGGGCCAUUGAGAACUCCUGACGAAGAGGGCUCAGCUGCCAGACCUGCUCAAGAAAGACCUCAGAAAUCUCUAUGGGGCUGUCAGAAGAAAAGGUUUGAAAAGGGUCUGGAGAGACUGAAAUUUGUCUGCCUUGGACUUUUCUUUUGACAAUUCACAUCCAACUUAAGCAGAAUCAUUGUUUAUUCUUAUUAUGCCAGGUUUCCUUUUCUGGUCUGCAGGUUCUCUAGGGUUUCAUAGGCUAGUAGUUGGAAUUUUCAUAUUUCCAAAGCAUUGGGGAUUUUGCAAAAACAAAAUCUAAAGGAUAUUCAGCAGCACAGUUUACUUAGGAGGUUUUAAUCAUAAUAAUCUGCAUAAUGUAUGAGAAUUUCUACCUCAGCUGCCUCCUUUCUUUCUCUUUCGUGUCUGGGAAAAAGCCAGGGAUUUUUCCCUUCCUCUGAUUUAAAUACCUUAUAAAAUUUUGGUGGAAGCAUUUUGUCCUAUUCUGUCUUCCUGAUUCAUUUUCUGCUGUAAUGAGCAAAAUUAAUUUGCAAGAGCUGCUACUGACAUAGUGUAAUAAACUGGGUCAUAGGUAGAAUCAGUGCCGCCUUAUGACCCUUAGCUGUCAUUGCUUUAAGGAAUUUGGCAUGGUCCUCGAAGGCCAGAAGGCAAUGUGGGUUGCAUCCUACAGCUUUUGAGAUCUCAGAGACUUACUGCACCCAUGGCUGGGAAUGAACUGUAAAUGCUGACACUGGUAACUAGGUGCCAAACUGAAGUGAUCACAACCUAAUCUGAGCCAAAAGGCAUUUCUUUGCAUCAGGCAUAAAGCAACAUCAAACUCCCAUAACCCACACACAACACAGAAAUCAUUACUGAAGAGAUUCAACAUCAUCAUGCCAGACACUAAGUGAGUUAUUUCUCUCCUUCCCUGUCUCACCACAGUUUCCUCCCACUUGGUCACACAUGGUAAGCAUUCAUGUGUGCGAAGGCAUUUUAUGCCUUCGACCUAACCCCGACCACAGUCCCCUAGUCUUAUCAGAGAUCUGCACUCCCCACCAUUUGAGCACGAUGGAGUGCAUAUUUCCAGUGCAAAAAGACUGAUAUCAUUAUGAUUUUCAUUAACUAGUUGCCAGCUUGCAUUCUUUUUUCUCCCUUUUUUUCUCUCUCAACAGCACUUCUGUCCUCAGCCCAACCCCAGCCAGAAAAGGUGUUGCUACAUUCAGUGAAAAAUUAUUAUUAGUAUAGACAUGAAAUUUGAUGAUAAUGUAGAUUGUUUUGUGUCAUCUGCAGGCUGUCACAAUACACUCUGCAUCACUGAAAUGUGUUGACCAGAAGGAUGAUGGUGUUGUCAUGAUACUGAGGUCUUUUAAUUAAUUACUUUGUGACUUUCAUAGCAUUUAGAAAACGGAGAACAGGGUAUUUUCUUGAACAGCCUAGCCAAAUGAAAAACUGGUUACUAAUGUAUGUUAUCUUCAUGAAUGAAGGCAUAAAAUAAUAAAAACAAACAAAUUAAAAAUUGUUAAUAAAUUAAU
rnacentral:lncRNA from 1 species